CGAAUCCUACGGGGGGCAGCAGUGGGGAAUUUUGGACAAUGGGCGCAAGCCUGAUCCAGCUAUUCCGCGUGUGGGAUGAAGACCCUCGGGUUGUAAACCACUUUUGUAGAGAACGAAAAGACACCUUUUAAUAAAGGGUGUUGCUGACGGUACUCUAAGAAUAAGCACCGGCUAACUACGUGCCAGCAGCCGCGGUAAUACGUAGGGUGCGAGCGUUAAUCGGAAUUACUGGGCGUAAAGGGUGCGCAGGCGGUUGAGUAAGACAGAUGUGAAAUCCCCGGGCUUAACUCGGGAAU
rnacentral:rRNA from 1 species